GAUGAAGAACGCAGCGAAAUGCGAUAAGUAAUGUGAAUUGCAGAAUUCAGUGAAUCAUCGAAUCUUUGAACGCACAUUGCGCCCCCCAGUAUUCUGGCGGGCAUGCCUGUUCGAGCGUCAUUUCAACCAUCAAGCCCUGCUUGUGUUGGGGUCCUGCGGCUGCCCGCAGGCCCUGAAAACCAGUGGCGGGCUCGCUAUCACACCGAGUGCAGUAGUUUACUCUUCGCUCAGGACGUGUAGCGGGUUCCGGCCGUGAAACCCCCCAAUUUUCAAGGUUGACCUCGGAUCAGGUAGGAAUACCCGCUGAACUUAAGCAUAUCAAUAAGCGGAGGA
rnacentral:misc_RNA from 1 species